UGGCUCUGCCCCCAUUCACGGCUCAUUUUCCUCAGCUGCACAGUUUGGGGGGCUGGAACCCCACAGCCUUCCGUGCCUCCAGGGCGGGUCGUAGAUGUCAGUGGAGGUCAGGGGAAAGCAGAGCGUCAGGUCUCAGGCCGGGUGGAGUCCGCCUCAGACCAUACCAGUGUUGGGACUCGGGCGGCGCCUCAGCCCUCCAAGCACACCCCGGUAGAAUCAGGUCAGCAGCCUUGAUCCACGUGCCUCAGGGAUUAAACGGGUGACUCCUGACACGCCCCUGGGCAGCUGGUGGCCCAGGGGU
rnacentral:lncRNA from 1 species